CCCAGCAACUUCUCAUUCUCGACACCAGGGGUUGGAUCCUUGGCUACCCUCCUUCUCUGAAGAUACAUCAUGACUGAUGACGAGAUGGAGCUUUCCUGUGAAGAAAGGAAGAAGCCUGGGAGCACAGACUUACGGCUAAUCAACGAUCACACUCAAAGGAGGUUCUUGGAAGUGGUUGGACCUGGACGGAAAACCUGGCUCAAUGUCCUCUACCAUGCAUUCAAUAGGGACAUGACUCUGGCCACAAGAUCAGGUAGGCUAUAGUCUCUCGCCACCUUCCAGACUUGUCCAUCCACACCUAUGCA
rnacentral:lncRNA from 1 species